CGGGGGAGCGUUCGCGCUUCCGCCGGCGACCGGCGCACGGGUGAGUAACACGUAUGGAACCUGCCCGCAGCAGGGGGAUAAUCGGGGGAAACCCCGUCUAAUACCGCGUAACGACCCGGAGGGGCAUCCCUUCGGGUCCAAAGGUUUACCGGCUGCGGAUGGCCAUGCGUCGCAUUAGCUUGUUGGCGGGGUAACGGCCCACCAAGGCUACGAUGCGUAGGGGUUCUGAGAGGAAGGUCCCCCACACUGGUACUGAGACACGGACCAGACUCCUACGGGAGGCAGCAG
rnacentral:rRNA from 1 species